rnacentral:rRNA from 1 species
UACGGGGGGGGCAAGCGUUGUUCGGAAUUACUGGGCGUAAAGGGUUCGUAGGUGGCUUGUUAAGUCAGACGUGAAAUCCCUCGGCUCAACCGGGGAACUGCGUCUGAGACUGAUGAGCUCGAGUGCAGGAGAGGAACGCGGAAUUCCAGGUGUAGCGGUGAAAUGCGUAGAUAUCUGGAGGAACACCGGUGGCGAAGGCGGCGUUCUGGACUGCAACUGACACUGAGACGCGAAAGCGUGGGGAGCGAACCGG